ACAAAGGCUCUUUUCAGAGCCACCCACUAUUUCUAUGAAAUGAGCU
rfam:Dipodomys ordii contig_70646, whole genome shotgun sequence.